rnacentral:tRNA from 1 species
GCGCCGGUGGUGUAAGGCGAACAUCGCUGCCCGGAAAGCAGAAGAUGCGGGUUUGAGUCCCGCCAGGCGCA